rnacentral:rRNA from 1 species
CAUGAAGCCGGAAUUGCUAGUAAUGGCAGGUCAGCAUACUGCCGUGAAUACGUUCCCGGGCCUUGUACACACCGCCCGUCACAUCAUGAGAGUCGGGAACACCCAAAGUCCGUAGUCUAACCGCAAGGAGGACGCGGCCUAAGGUGGGUUCGAUAAUUGGGGUGAAGUCGUAACAAGGUAAC